rnacentral:rRNA from 1 species
GACGAACGCUGGCGGCGUGCCUAAUACAUGCAAGUUGAGCGCUGAAGGUUGGUACUUGUACCAACUGGAUGAGCAGCGAACGGGUGAGUAACGCGUGGGGAAUCUGCCUUUGAGCGGGGGACAACAUUUGGAAACGAAUGCUAAUACCGCAUAAAAACUUUAAACACAAGUUUUAAGUUUGAAAGAUGCAAUUGCAUCACUCAAAGAUGAUCCCGCGUUGUAUUAGCUAGUUGGUGAGGUAAAGGCUCACCAAGGCGAUGAUACAUAGCCGACCUGAUAGGGUGAUCGGCCACAUUGGGACUGAGACACGGCCCAAACUCCUACGGGAGGCAGCAGUAGGGAAUCUUCGGCAAUGGACGAAAGUCUGACCGAGCAACGCCGCGUGAGUGAAGAAGGUUUUCGGAUCGUAAAACUCUGUUGGUAGAGAAGAACGUUGGUGAGAGUGGAAAGCUCAUCAAGUGACGGUAACUACCCAGAAAGGGACGGCUAACUACGUG